rnacentral:rRNA from 1 species
UGGAUCCAGACUUUGAUUCUGGCUCAGGAUGAACGCUAGCUACAGGCUUAACACAUGCAAGUCGAGGGGAAACGACAUUGGAAGCUUGCUUCCGGUGGGCGUCGACCGGCGCACGGGUGAGUAACGCGUAUCCAACCUGCCCACCACUUGGGAAUAACCUUGCGAAAGUAAGACUAAUGCCCAAUGACGUUGAAAGAAGACAUCUGAUUUCAACUAAAGAUUCAUCGGUGAUGGGUGGGGAUGCGUCUGAUUAGCUUGUUGGCGGGGUGACGGCCCACCAAGGCGACGAUCAGUAGGGGUUCUGAGAGGAAGGUCCCCUACAUUGGAACUGAGACACGGUCCAAACUCCUACGGGAGGCAGCAGUGAGGAAUAUUGGUCAAUGGACGAGAGUCUGAACCAGCCAAGUAGCGUGCAGGAUGACGGCCCUAUGGGUUGUAAACUGCUUUUAUAAGGGAAUAAAGUGGGAGUCGUGACUCCUUUUGCAUGUACCUUAUGAAUAAGGACCGGCUAAUUCCGUGCCAGCAGCCGCGGUAAUACGGAAGGUCCGGGCGUUAUCCGGAUUUAUUGGGUUUAAAGGGAGCGUAGGCCGGAGAUUAAGCGUGUUGUGAAAUGUAGAUGCUCAACAUCUGCACUGCAGCGCGAACUGGUUUCCUUGAGUACGCACAAAGUGGGCGGAAUUCGUGGUGUAGCGGUGAAAUGCUUAGAUAUCACGAAGAACUCCGAUUGCGAAGGCAGCUCACUGGAGCGCAACUGACGCUGAAGCUCGAAAGUGCGGGUAUCGAACAGGAUUAGAUACCCUGGUAGUCCGCACGGUAAACGAUGGAUGCCCGCUGUUGGUCUGAAUAGGUCAGCGGCCAAGCGAAAGCAUUAAGCAUCCCACCUGGGGAGUACGCCGGCAACGGUGCAACUCAAAGGAAUUGACGGA